rnacentral:rRNA from 1 species
AACGAACGCUGGCGGCGUGCUUAACACAUGCAAGUCGAGCGGGAAAGUUUCCUUCGGGAAGCGAGUACAGCGGCAGACGGGUGAGUACGACGUAGGUAACCUACCCUCGAGACUGGGAUAACCUGUCGAAAGACGGGCUAAUACCGGAUAAGACCACAAGGGCUGCGGCCUUUGAGGUAAAAGAUGGCCUCUGCUUGCAAGCUAUCACUUGGGGGAUGGGCCUGCGCGCCAUUAGCAGUUGGUGAGGUAACGGCUCACCAAGGCAAAGAUGGCUAGCUGGUCUGAGAGGAUGGCCAGCCACACUGGGACUGAGACACGGCCCAGACUCCUACGGGAGGCAGCAGUGGGGAAUCUUGCGCAAUGGGCGAAAGCCUGACGCAGCGACGCCGCGUGA